rnacentral:rRNA from 1 species
GAUGAACGCUGGCGGCGUGCCUAAUACAUGCAAGUCGAGCGAACAGACGAGGAGCUUGCUCCUCUGACGUUAGCGGCGGACGGGUGAGUAACACGUGGAUAACCUACCUAUAAGACUGGGAUAACUUCGGGAAACCGGAGCUAAUACCGGAUAAUAUAUUGAACCGCAUGGUUCAAUAGUGAAAGACGGCUUUGCUGUCACUUAUAGAUGGAUCCGCGCCGCAUUAGCUAGUUGGUAAGGUAACGGCUUACCAAGGCAACGAUGCGUAGCCGACCUGAGAGGGUGAUCGGCCACACUGGAACUGAGACACGGUCCAGACUCCUACGGGAGGCAGCAGUAGGGAAUCUUCCGCAAUGGGCGAAAGCUUGACGGAGCAACGCCGCGUGAGUGAUGAAGGUCUUCGGGUCGUAAAACUCUGUUAUUAGGGAAGAACAAAUGUGUAAGUAACUAUGCACGUCUUGACGGUACCUAAUCAGAAAGCCACGGCUAACUACGUG